AUGCUUUAUUCUUUGGCAAUAGAACCACUCUUACAGCAAAUAAGAGCCAAACUCCAUGGUAUAUGUUUGCCAAACUGUAAGAAAAAUCUUAUAUUGUCAGCAUAUGCUGAUGAUGUAAUAGUUAUGAUUACCAGGCAAAGUGAUAUUCAGGUCCUGUUAAGAUUACUUAGAACAUUUAAAGGUUUAUCUUCUGCAAGAAUAAACUGGGGUAAAAGUGAGUCUUUAUUGAUAGGUAAGUGGGCAGAUGGGAAGCCAGAACUUCCUGAAGGGUUAAGUUGGGGAAAAUUUGGUUUUAAAUACUUGGGAGUGUUUUUGGGUGAUGAGUCUACAGUACAGAAAAAUUGGGAAGGAGUCAUUGAAAAAGUGAAAGGUCGUCUAAAUAAAUGGAAAUGUUUAGUGCCGAAGAUGUCGUACAGAGGUCGUAUUUUAAUUAUUAAUAAUUUGGUUGCAUCUUCAUUGUGGCACAGGUUUGCCUGUGUUGACCCUCCCUCACAACUGUUAACCAAAAUCCAGGCUAUUUUGAUAGAUUUUUUCUGGGAUAAAUUGCAUUGGGUCCCACAGAAUGUGCUAUUCUUGCCAAAAGAAGAGGGUGGACAUGGGUUAAUACACCUUCAAAGUAGGAUAGCAACCUUUCGUUUGCAGUUUGUACAGAAACUACUAGUUGGUUCAGUUGAUUUUAAAUGGUGUGCUGUUACAUACGUAAUUUUACAAAACCUUGAGGGUUUAGGACUGGAUAGAACUCUUUUUCUAAUGGAUCCAUUGAAACUGAAUACUUCUAGCCUGCCAGUGUUUUAUAGAAAUAUUUUUAAAGUUUGGAGUCUUUUCUUUUUUAAAAAAGCAGAAAGUCCACUAUCUCUUCAUUGGCUACUGGAAGAACCUCUAAUGUGUGGAGCACGUCUGGAUUUGUCUGUCAGUGGACUUUUCCCAGGACUUAGUAAGACACUCAUUAAUAGUAAAGUCACCAAAUUGGGACAGCUAUUGGAAAUAGCUGGACCUGAUUUUAAGAAUGAGGAGGGAACGGCUCAACGUUUGGGAUUUAGAUCAACGCGUCUGAUUGCACAGCUUUUAGAGAAAUGGUCAACAACUCUUAAUGCUACAGAAAGGACUCUGCUGACUGAGUAUGGUGAUGGCCUCUGCAACCCAAAUCCUAAAGACUCUUUUCCUUGUUUGUUUUUUUCUUUGAAUUUAGAAGGGGUUUCUGGUGUCUUUUUUGAAGUUGUUGACUCCAUGUGUGUAGAUUUCUUUUCAUGCACUGGGAAAGUUCUGUAUAAAUGUUGUGUAAUUAAUUUUAACAAAAAAAUGUUAAAUGAGAGAACUGAUACUCCAUGGCGUGCUUUUUUUAAGUUGAGUAUGGAUAAGAAGCCUGAGUGGAGAGCAUUAUAUAAACCACCGUUGACCAAAAAAACAGGUGAUUUGCAGUGGAGAAUUCUUCACGGUGCUGUCGCUGUCAAUGCUUUUACUUCAAUUAUAAAUCCUGAGAUUGAUGCGGGUUGUCCUUUUUGCACGGAGAGAGAGACUAUCUUUCAUACAUUUGUGAAUUGUGCUAGAUUGGAAUCUUUAUUUUUGUGUUUAGGCAGUAUUUUUAAGAAUUAUAAUGAAUCUUUUUCUAUGGUGCUAUUUGUUUUUGGUUGUAAAUAUGUAAGGAAGAAAAGGUUUAUUUGUCAAUUGCUGAAUUUUAUUUUAGGCCAGGCAAAACUGGCCAUCUAUGUAAGUAGAAAGAAAAAGAUGGAACAAAAUUUGGAACCAAAUGUGGUUACAUUGUUUUUAAACAUGGUACAAGCAAGAAUACUGAUAGAUUUUAGAUACUAUAAACAUAUGGAUGAUCUUGCUGCUUUUGAGGAAAUUUGGUGUUACAAUGAAGCUUUGUGCUCUGUUUUUGAAGGUGAUUUGGUUUUUACACGUUUGUGA
rnacentral:lncRNA from 1 species